CUGCGUUGUUUGCGCUCAUUUCAACAUCUUAUAGGCCAAGUUAGUGUGUUCAAUCUGCGGCAUAACCUUUGAUACACACCAAGCGGAUGUGAUUACUGGUUCUGAUAAUGUCUUCAUUAUUGAUUGUAGUAAAGAUUGUGGUGAUUGCCAUCUCAAUCAAAAUAAAUGCAGAAUAUCUUUCGUAUGGGAGGACUGCAACGUAUUCCUCAAUAUCUGCUGACAGCGAUCCAGCAACAUUAACGGAUGGGAUAGACAGCGUAAGCACUUCGACGGAAUGUUUUAGUACUGG